rnacentral:rRNA from 1 species
CAGUCGCCGCGGGAAUACGAAGGGGGCUAGCGUUGCUCGGAAUGACUGGGCGUAAAGGGCGCGUAGGCGGUUUGCACAGUCGGGUGUGAAAUUCCUGGGCUUAACCUGGGGGCUGCAUUCGAGACGUGUAGGCUUGAGUGGGGAAGAGGGUCGUGGAAUUCCCAGUGUAGAGGUGUAAUUCGUAGAUAUUGGGAAGAACACCGGUGGCGAAGGCGGCGACCUGGUCCUUUACUGACGCUGAGGCGCGAAAGCGUGGGGAGCAAACAGGAUUAGAUACCCCAGUAGUCCCUGUCUCUUAUAA